CCGAUCCUCCCACCCUUUGUGUACCUACCUCUGUUGCUUUGGCGGGCCGCGGUCCUCCGCGGCCGCCCCCCUCCCCGGGGGGGUGGCCAGCGCCCGCCAGAGGACCAUCAAACUCCAGUCAGUAAACGAUGCAGUCUGAAAAACAUUUAAUAAACUAAAACUUUCAACAACGGAUCUCUUGGUUCUGGCAUCGAUGAAGAACGCAGCGAAAUGCGAUAAGUAAUGUGAAUUGCAGAAUUCAGUGAAUCAUCGAAUCUUUGAACGCACAUUGCGCCCUUUGGUAUUCCGAAGGGCAUGCCUGUUCGAGCGUCAUUACAACCCUCAAGCUCUGCUUGGUAUUGGGCACCGUCCUUUGCGGGCGCGCCUCAAAGACCUCGGCGGUGGCGUCUUGCCUCAAGCGUAGUAGAACAUACAUCUCGCUUCGGAGCGCAGGGCGUCGCCCGCCGGACGAACCUUCUGAACUUUUCUCAAGGUUGACCUCGGAUCAGGUAGGGAUACCCGCUGAACUUAAGCAUAUCAAUAA
rnacentral:rRNA from 1 species